GUGAUCGAGCGACGCCGCGUGUGGGAUGAAGGUUUUCGGAUUGUAAACCACUUUUGUUUGGGAAGAAGGCCUAUAUCGUGAAUAUGGGAUUGACGGUACCAAACGAAUAAGCCCCGGCUAACUCCGUGCCAGCAGCCGCGGUAAGACGGAGGGGGCAAGCGUUGUUCGGAAUCAUUGGGCGUAAAGGGCUCGUAGGCGGACUAGUAAGUCUGGCGUGAAAUCUCCACCGCUCACCGGGGAGAGGUCGCUGGAUACUGCUAGUCUUGAGUUCGGUAGAGGGUCGUGGAAUUUCGGGUGUAGCGGUGGAAUGCGUAGAUAUCCGAAAGAACACCGGUGGCGAAGGCGGCGACCUGGGCCUGAACUGACGCUGAGGAGCGAAAGCUAGGGGAGCAAACGGGAUUAGAUACCCCGGUAGUCCUAGCCCUAAACGAU
rnacentral:rRNA from 1 species